rnacentral:rRNA from 1 species
AGCGGAAACGAGUUAUCUGAACCUUCGGGGAACGAUAACGGCGUCGAGCGGCGGACGGGUGAGUAAUGCCUGGGAAAUUGCCCUGAUGUGGGGGAUAACUAUUGGAAACGAUAGCUAAUACCGCAUAACGUCUACGGACCAAAGAGGGGGACCUUCGGGCCUCUCGCUUCAGGAUAUGCCCAGGUGGGAUUAGCUAGUUGGUGAGGUAAUGGCUCACCAAGGCGACGAUCCCUAGCUGGUCUGAGAGGAUGAUCAGCCACACUGGAACUGAGACACGGUCCAGACUCCUACGGGAGGCAGCAGUGGGGAAUAUUGCACAAUGGGCGCAAGCCUGAUGCAGCCAUGCCGCGUGUAUGAAGAAGGCCUUCGGGUUGUAAAGUACUUUCAGUCGUGA